rnacentral:snRNA from 1 species
AUCGUUUCCGUCUUUCCC